rnacentral:rRNA from 1 species
AACGAACGCUGGCGGCGUGGAUAAGACAUGCAAGUCGAACGGGAUUUUUUUCUGUAGCAAUACAGAGAAAAGUCUAGUGGCGAACGGGUGCGUAACACGUGAGCAACCUGCCGUGAAGUGGGGGAUAGCUCGCCGAAAGGCGAAUUAAUACCGCAUGUGGCCAAGGAAGACAUCUUCCUGACGCCAAAGCCGGGGCAACCUGGCGCUUCUCGAGGGGCUCGCGGCCUAUCAGCUUGUUGGUGAGGUCACGGCUCACCAAGGCUAUGACGGGUAGCGGGUCUGGGAGGACGACCAGCCACACUGGAACUGAGACACGGUCCAGACACCUACGGGUGGCAGCAGUCGAGAAUUUUUCACAAUGGGGGAAACCCUGAUGGAGCGACGCCGCGUGGAGGAUGAAGGUUUUCGGAUUGUAAACUCCUGUCAUUAGAGAACAAGGCACACGGUUUAACUGGCCGUGUGUUGAUAGUAUCUGAAGAGGAAGAGACGGCUAACUCUGUGCCAGCCGCCGCAGUAA